CCAACGAUCAACAAUGCCGCGUGUCGGUAAGAUAUGUUUGAUAUUCUUGGUUGUUUUCGUAUCACCCAGGAAUCAAACAUAUUACCUAUCGAUCGUGGUCCAUUCAUCGAUGG
rnacentral:pre_miRNA from 1 species